rnacentral:rRNA from 1 species
UCAGGAUGAACGCUAGCUACAGGCUUAACACAUGCAAGUCAGGGGCAGCAUGUGGUUGCUUGCAACCAAUGAUGGCGACCGGCGCACGGGUGAGUAACGCGUAUCCAACUCCCCUUAGUAGAGGAUAGCCCGGCGAAAGUCGGAUUAAUACUCUAUGUUCUUCAAUGCGGACAUCUAAGUUGAAGCAAAGAUUUAUCGCUAAGGGAUGGGGAUGCGUCUGAUUAGGUUGCAGGCGGGUAACGGCCCACCUGGCCUACGAUCAGUAGGGGUUCUGAGAGGAAGGUCCCCCACACUGGUACUGAGACACGGACCAGACUCCUACGGGAGGCAGCAGUGAGGAAUAUUGGUCAAUGGGCGCGAGCCUGAACCAGCCAAGUAGCGUGCCAGGAUGACGGCCCUAUGGGUUGUAAACUGCUUUUAUCAGGGGAUAAAGUCGGCUACGCGUAGCCGUUUGUAGGUACCUGAUGAAUAAGGACCGGCUAAUUCCGUGCCAGCAGCGGC